rnacentral:rRNA from 1 species
AGCUAGUUGGUAGGGUAAAGGCCUACCAAGGCGAAGACGGGUAGGGGGUGUGAGAGCACGGCCCCCCACAAUGGGACUGAGACACGGCCCAUACUCCUACGGGAGGCAGCAGCAGGGAAUAUUGCACAAUGGACGGAAGUCUGAUGCAGCGACGCCGCGUGAGUGAAGAAGGCCUUCGGGUUGUAAAACUCUUUUGAGGGGGAAGAGCGAGGACGGUACCCCUGGAAUAAGCGUCGGCUAACUACGUGCCAGCAGCCGCGGUAAGACGUAGGACGCGAGCGUUAUCCGGAUUUACUGGGCGUAAAGCGUCUGUAGGCGGAUGUGUAAGUUGGGCGUGAAAGCUCCGGGCUUAACCCGGAGAGGCCGUUCAAUACUGCAUAACUUGAGGGUGUCAGAGGGGAGCGGAAUUCCCGGUGUAGCGGUAAAAUGCGCAGAGAUCGGGAGGAACACCAGUGGCGGAGGCGGUUCCCUGGGGCACACCUGACGCUGAGAGACGAAAGCUAGGGGAGCGAACAGGAUUAGAGACCCUGGUAGUCCUAGCCCUAAACGAUGAAUGCUAGGUGUGGGAUCGAAUGGUUCCGUGCCGGAGCGAACGCGAUAAGCAUUCCGCCUGGGGAGUACGGCCGCAAGGUUAAAACUCAAACGAAUUGACGGGGCCCCGCACAAGCAGCGGAGCGUGUGGUUUAAUUCGAUGCUACACGAAGAACCUUACCUGGGUUUGACAUGUAGGUGGUAGUGAAUCGAAAGGUGAACGACCCUUCGGGGAGCCUACACAGGUGCUGCAUGGCUGUCGUCAGCUCGUGCCGUGAGGUGUCGGGUUAAGUCCCGUAACGAGCGCAACCCUUGCUCCUAGUUACAAGUGUCUAGGGGGACUGCCGGCGGAAAGCCGGAGGAAGGUGGGGAUGACGUCAAGUCAGCAUGGCCCUUAUAUCCAGGGCUACACACACGCUACAAUGGUCGGUACAAAGGGCAGCGAAACCGCGAGGCGGAGCGAAUCCGAGAAAAGCCGAUCGUAGUUCGGAUAGCAGGCUGCAACCCGCCUGCUUGAAGCUGGAGUUGCUAGUAACCGCGCGUCAGCCAUAGCGCGCUGAAUACGUUCC